ensembl:processed_transcript
AUUACGAACACCUGACCUGCAGUGCAGCAGAAUUCAGAGAGAUGUAACUUACUCCAGAGACGCACUAACUUGCACAGCAUUGAAUGGAAAAGGCUUUGUCCAUGUCCAGUUGAGGGGCAUCAAGAACAAGCAGAUGGCCUAAACCUGUGUCAGCCUGGACAGACUGCAGUUCUGCUAUUCCACGCCAAGGCUUUUGUAUGGAUGUUUGACUACUACUGUGUUCUCUAAAGGUUUUCUGGAAGCUCCAUUUGAGUUCAUCAAGGACAUACUGAUAGCCUAAACCAGUGUCAGCCUAGACAGACAGACAGACAGACAUCUAUUGCAGUUCUGCUACACAAGACCAAACUCUCUGCUUUUGUAUGGAUGUCUGACUAGUACGGUGUUCUCUAAAGGUAUAACUGGAGCAAAACAACAGCAUCCGUUACAGUGAAAUUUGUGUUCAUAAAAGAUAUGUGUAACAGGUCCAGUACAUUUGUCAUAAAGGUUAAAUCGCAGUAAGUACUGUAAAAAUAACUUGUUUGCCUUUGCCACAACAGGUCAUAUAUACGCAAACACAUUUGUAUUUACUGUUUUGUUUUGCCUCACUAAAGUGUUGUUGGAGCUUGGUAUGUUCACAGUUGAAAUCACUGAAGUCACAUGGAAUGUUUUGACAAUGUGUUUUGUGCCUUAUCUUGACAAUGAUUAUCUUGGGACUAUUGCUGUCUGUAGAGGAUAAGGAACAUUUAAUCUAAAAUAUUUUAGUUUGUGUUCUGAAGAUUAACAGGUCUCUGGGAUGAC